UAAAGUCCCCUUCAGAGUUGAAUCAUCUGAAGGGACAUCAGUGCAAAUCAAGGGCAUAGGCAUAUGAAUCAGAUUAUCCUGUCUGGAAUCAUGCAAUCAAGGCUGUGUGACUUUGAGCACAUUACCAAAUCUCUCUGAGCCUUUUUUCAACCCAAUUGUAAGGUAAAUGUAAUACCUACCUCAUUGUUUGCUCGCUGCCCUGCAAGGGGGUGAGACAGGGAAUGAAGCCCUUUCUCAGACUCAACAUUUUAGUCAUCUGCCCUCUAAUCCUUUCCUUUUGCCUGCUUGUCAAACCUGUAUCUCCUUUGGUAAAAAGUCAGAGCACACAACACGGGGUCCAGAUCAAGAGGAAGCAAAACGCUGCCCAGAUUCUGAGAAACCUGGAGAAAAUCAGCCUUCGGAGUUUCAACACACACGUUGUCCUGUUUGAUUUUGUUCUUUGUUUUUUAUCCUCUUAAGGACAGAUACAUGUUGAAGUCUAUGGUGUUCUGUCAUCUCAUUCUCUUUACCAGAAUAGGUGUGCCCAGGCAGAAAAAAAAGGGUAUUCAAAUGUUGCUGGCAUGUGUGGAUUCACAGCUGGUGGCUCUGAGGAAGUCUGGGAGUUCCAUAAAUCCAUUCAAAUCCUUUUAGAUUUG